rnacentral:lncRNA from 1 species
GCUCUGUGUGCAUAUACCAUCUGUAUGCACACAGAGGUGCUGUGCCUGGCUUCUGUUUUCUCCCUAAAAUGCCCCAUCCCAGCCUGUUGCCAUUCCCUGUGCCUUGACUUUGGGGACGCCCCACGCUCAGGGUUGGCUCCCUUCCGUCCAUCUGUCCGUCCAUCCCACUACAGCGAGCUCAGCAGAGCCCCCAUACGCACACCCACAGCCAUGGGAUGGGAGCCCUCGGUGAAUGUAUAUACAGGUGUAUUGGAGAGCAGGGCCGGGCUCACCCCUGGAGAGGGAUUUUGGUCCCCAGAUGGGCAGUGAGGGCAGCGAGGACCUCGAUUCUGCUCAAAGCAAGGAUUAGGGCUGCAGAUGAGUGCAGUGGAUUUGAGGCUUACAAUGUGAGUGUGGAGGCACACCCCCCGUGGACCCUUGGGAUUAGGUACGAAGCUCCCUCACCCACCUGCUUGGCUCUGGCAUAGGGAGGGGGCGAGCUCAGUGGCCCCUGUCCUGCAGAACUUCCCUCCUCCCCCUCCUCCUCCUCGCUGCCCCAUGGCACGCAGGUACGAUUUGGCCGCAGGACGGUUUGGGAAGGGGCACGGCCGGGGGGUCCCCUACCCCUCCUGUCCCCAUCGGGUUUAACCACAACCCCAAAGGUACUGUCAGGACGGUGCUGAGCCCGACCCAGCCUGAGCCCCCACCCCGGCUGGACCGUGUGCCAUUUCUCGCAAUGGUGCCUGAUGUAACCCUGGCUGUCGCCCCAAAUGCUGCACCCCACUAUAGCAAUAGCACCCCGGCAGCAUCCCGCCCCGAAGCCAAGCUGAAGCUUUAAACUCCACUCCCCAGGGUGGGGGAGCGGGAACAGGACCAGGACCCCCCCCCCGGCCCAAAGGGAGCUCUGGGACAGGCGGCAGUGGCCGGAGCGUGGGGGCAAGUGGGUCCCCCUCCCAGCACAGGCUGUUGUAGACUCCCCCCCUAGAGACACGUAUCUGUGACCCCUACCCUGCCCUCCCCCGAAACCCACCAUUUUUUUAUUUUCCAUUUUCCUUUUUUUUAAAUAUUAUGUACUAUAUUUUUAGUCUUAAACACGA